rnacentral:rRNA from 1 species
UGGAAGGGAACCCGGUGAACUGAAACAUCUAAGUAGCCGGAGGAAGAGAAAACAACAUGUGAUUCCGUAAGUAGCGGCGAGCGAACGCGGACCAGUCUAAACCGAUUAUGCGUGAUAGCCGGCAGGCGUUGCAUAGUGGGUGUUGCGGGACUUAUUUCCUCAGAUCUGCCGAUCUGAGCACAUGAUGUUUCUUGUCUAGUCGAAUCGUUUGGGAAGGCGAGCCAUAGCGGGUGAGAGCCCCGUAGACGAAAGGCAGGAGCAGUGUGGAUAAGCACCCAAGUACCACGGGGCACGAGGAACCUUGUGGGAAUCCGGGAGGACCAUCUCCUAAGACUAAAUACCCUUUGCCACCGAUAGCGAAAUAGUACCGUGAGGGAAAGGUGAAAA